rnacentral:rRNA from 1 species
UACGGAGGGUCCAAGCGUUAUCCGGAAUCAUUGGGUUUAAAGGGUCCGUAGGCGGUUUUGUAAGUCAGUGGUGAAAGCCCAUCGCUCAACGGUGGAACGGCCAUUGAUACUGCAAGACUUGAAUUAUUGGGAAGUAACUAGAAUAUGUAGUGUAGCGGUGAAAUGCUUAGAGAUUACAUGGAAUACCAAUUGCGAAGGCAGGUUACUACCAAUACAUUGACGCUGAUGGACGAAAGCGUGGGGAGCCGAAC